rnacentral:lncRNA from 1 species
UAUAUACGAAUUAUAAAAUAUAUAAAAAAAAAACUAUUUGUGUAAAGAUUUAAAGAAGGGGGUGUAUUUUAAAAUAUAAAACAUAUCUAUGAAACUGAGUUAAUUAAUAAAAUAACAAAAUAACAAAAAAAGACUAAUUUGAAUUCUAAGACAAAGAUUCGGGGCAAAAUCGAAAGUAAAAUAAAAGGGGAGGACCAAACUGAACGCGUGCACAAUACGGGAGGACCAGAAUGGGAAUUUUUCUUUUUCCUCAAAACGACAUCGUUCCAGAGUGGACCGAAUUGAAAUCGCAAUAAAAUAAUUGCUAAAAAUUAAAAAUUUAAAAAUACCUAAUUAAAAAAAUCUAAAAAGUGGAAAGGCUAAAGGUGCAAUUAGCCCUUCCAACGAAAACACGCGGAUCCUCCCCCAGGGUCGGGUCACCGCCAAAACGGUGUCGUUUUGGCACCUGACCUUUAAUGGCAAAACGGCGCAGUUUUGAGGGGGCUAUAAGUCCAAAAUUUUUUUAAAAAAAUUCAUUUUCUUUCUUCCUCAAAAAACCCCCAGAAAACUCUCUCAAAUCCUCUCCCCCUCUCGAAAAUCCGGCCAGGAGUCCGGUCAUCAGCCGCCGCUCCGGCCGUUGGUGACGGCGGCCGCCUUCCGUGGUGGCCGAUAAAACAAAAAUAACCCCUUUCGAAGCCCUUUACACGUGGAGCAAGGAUCCAAGGCCAAAACCCCCGUAAACGCGGCCAAACCUGGCGGAGCAACGAAGAAACGUGACGCUUCUUCUCCUUUUUUGGCGAGGCCGUCGACGGCGAGUAGAUCGGCCGACGCAGGUGAGUUUCUUUUUCUCUUCUUUUUUUUUUGCUUUGUUUUCGUUUACAAAAUAAAAAAUAAUAAAAAAAUAAAAUAGAAAGACUGAAAUAAAAAAAGAUCACCUUUAAGUUUUUGUUCUCUUUUUAUUUUCUAAUAUCUGUAAAAAAGGAAGUAGAAGUUACAAUUCGUUUGAAUGGGCUUUAUAUAGCCAUUUUUACACAAUUUAUUUUAUUAUUGUUUCUACUGUUUUGUCCUUCUUUGCUUGUGUGUUCUCCUUUGUUUUGCAAGUGGAGUAGAUGGUGCAUGUGGGCGAAACAAUGGCGGUGGCAGAGGAUAGGUGACGGCGACGAUGGUAGUAGAGGGGUCAGAAGAGGCAGUUAGGGUUAGGCAGUAGGCUAGGGUUUCAUUUUUUUUUGAAAUGUUUUGGGCUUAGUGGGCUGCUAGGGUUUUGGGUAGUGGGCCCAGGACAAAUUUGGGCUUGUACAGGAUCUAUGAAAACAUAAAAAAGUAAAAUUAUGUUAGAUUCAAUUCAAUAUAAAAUAUAACUUACUGAACCCAUCCAUGUUAUUUGAACUCUUCAUAAUCCGAACCUGUUUUGGAAGGUGGUCUGCUGGUUCUUCCUCUCCGAGGGUAAGGAUACUGAGCCGAACCUCCAAGAACCGGACGAGCGAGAUCUGCACCCUUAUCGGGAUCACCCAAAUCAUUGUACAAUAUGCAUAGUCAUAAACACGAUCUCCUGUUUUCAACUGUCCAGUCCCAUCUCCCCUCAAGACCUGUAACUCUUCUUCUCUGUAUUCACGCAACGCUGCUGGUUUCUCAUGUGGAAGGUAUGUCUACAAAUAUUUUACAAGAAUGUGAAUUCAGGUAUAACUCAUUUUGAACUGAAGCUAUUAUUUGAAAAAGUGUUCAAAUACCUUGUUUGAGAAGAAGAUUCGUGGUUUUUUAUAUCGUCUAUCAGGAUAAACCCAGAAAUUACAAACGAAGUGGAUCCGACCUUCGCCGGUAACAUUUUCAAGAGUAAUUGUUUUUAAGAAAAACUCAGCCGUAUAAUUAUUUCGUAGGAUGAUAGCUCCAGGGAUUCCAAAUUCCUCAUCCCACUCAAAUGAAACCUUGUACAAGGAAUCAUCACCAGCCAAUAACGGAGUAUAUGCCAGGUUCCAGUAUUCCAAUGCCGCUAACUUCCCCAGCUUUCCACACCAUUUUCAUUUGCUACAGAACAAACCAGUAAACAUUAACACCGUUAUUAUUUCCAAAUUACGAAAAAAAAAAGGAUUUGUUUGGAAACUUGGAACGGAACGAACCAGGGUCGGGAUUUUCGGCACCGACGAGCUGGAGACUGACUUGAUUGCAGAGCAAUUCAAAGAGGCUAUCAGCUACAGUUGAAUGCACGGCGGUGAAGUCCAAAACAUUCUUCUUAACUAUAACAACACUGCCUGUGAUUGUGUUCUUGCUGGGUUUAUUGAGGCCGGUAAUGUCGCCGACAACAUUGCCGACUGAACUCGCCAGAUUUCCAAGAAUCAUGUUCUUGCUGGUCUUGUUAGCUACUACAAAUAUAUGAAGUUGAUAUUUUUGAAGUUGAUGUGCCAAAAUGAGAGAAAUGUUUCGGUAUUUGUAAGGAUUUAGCUAUUACAUUAAUUAAUUAAUUAAUUACUUGAGACAGCUUUAGCAGGAUAUCAUAAGCCUUACUGUAUAGUAUGAAACCUUCUUUUUUUUCGGUGAACGAUGUCCAAAAAUACGUAACUCAUAACGCGUUGGUAGUAUAAAUUACCGGUGACUAAAUUAAGUUUCGUUUAAAUCAAUAAAUUGUUAAAAUUAAUCAAAUUGACUUAAAUUUAAUAUAUGAUUUUUUACUCAUCGAUAGGUAUCACUCCAUCAUAUCGAUCGUCAAAUUUAUUAAUACAUUUAAUUAACAAUAAAAAUAAUUUUUGAUAAAAAUAUCACAAAAUUCAUUUACUGCCGGUCUUUUUAUUAAAAAAAUAGGUAAAUUAACCCAUGUACAGUAGAUGCACAAGUAAAACAGUCCCUCCUUUAAAAUUAUACCAUUAAAUGUUUGUUUUGAUAUUUAUCUAUGAGAUAUAAUAACAAAUUUAAUUCUCAACCUUUACACAAUUAUUUAAUUUAAUCUCUACACCAUUAUUGCAAGUAAAAUAAAAAAUUUUAAAACUAAUAAAGUUAAAAGCAUUCGAAACUUUUAGCGGAAGAGCAUCAGAGGGAAAAAGGAGAAAGCUAGGGUUUUCAAAGUUCCAAGCUCAAUUGCUAACGUUGUGCCGGAAUCCUCGAUUAAAAAGAGAAAAGAUAAAGUUAACGAGGAAUAGCUCAGAAUUUCUGGUUUGUAUUUUUAUAAUCCGAAUCUAAUUAUUAAUUGUUGUAUUUUGAUUUAAUGUUUAUGGCAAGUAGUUGAGGUGAGUAUAUGACAUUUUGAAAUUGAAUUGAAUUGAAUUCAUUGUACAUGUGAUUAUAUGGAAAAUUGAUAUUUAAUAUUGAUUGCUAUUGAAUUAUGAAACUAAAACCCUAUUAACUAUAUCGGGCUGAGUCGGAUAUAGAUGGCAUGCCAUAGGAUUGGAAGAGUUGAGGGAUUAUUUUUACUUUGAGUCGAUGAGACACUGGGUGUCAAUUUAUUACUUUGGAUUAAUUCGAUGAGGCACUGGGUGCCAAUUUACUUCGGUUUAGCCGAUAAGACACUGGGUGUCAAAUUAUUACUUCGAAUUAUCUGAUGAUGUACUAGGUACAAAACUGGUGUAUUUUUGUUGGAUCCGUGUAUCCGUUGUUACAGGCCCAAUUAGCCCGAGCCCGCAUACAAAAUAAUAAAACCAAUAACCAAAAAAAACAGUCCAAUAAAUGUCCAUUUACUAAUUUCAGCAAGUCCAAAACCCCUACCCAAAUUACCAAUAAGCCUAAACCCAAUAUUUUCAACAGCAAAGAAAACCCUAGGCAGCAACCAAGCCUCAGUCGCCGCACGCCCCAACAGCAACCCUCUCGCGUGCCGCUUUCUUUGUGUGUGCCGCCACGUCCUUGUACCUGCAAAACAAACUAGGAGAGUCCAAAAGCAAAAAAAUAGUGUAAAAAAUAGAAAAAAAAAUAGGAAGAUAAGUAUUAUUUUUGGGCUAUAAAAAGAGUCCCGAGUUUGUAUUUUUUUACUUACGAAUGAAUCAAAAUAAAAUAGAGAAAAAUCAAUUUAAGUACAUACCAUUUUCAAAGGUAGUAGUCCCAUUUUUAUUUUUUAUUUUUAUUUAUUUAUUUACAUUUAAAAAAAAACGAAAAUGAGAAAGGAAAAAUAAAAAGCAUACCUUUUUUGUGAAAGAGGUGCCGAUUCCGAUGAAAAUCGAGGACUUUUGAGUUGGGAAGUUGAAAAGGCCAAAAAAUGGGUAUUUUUGGUUUUUCGACCAUCUCGAGCUGUGGCCGCCGCGGUGGUCCGGCACCGGAGCUAGCCGGAUUCUGGAAAUGUGUAAAAGGGGGAGAGAGUUUUGCUUUUGAUUUUUUUGUUCUUUUUAAAAAGAGAGAAAGAAUGAAAUUUUUGAAAUUUUUUUUGGUUUUAUAGGCUAAUAAAACGGUGUCGUUUAGGGCUGGUCUUUAUAGCCUUAAAACGAUGCUGUUUUGAUCCUUAUGGCCCCCAACCCGCGCGUCGACCCGACCUGAAGGGAGGAUCCGCGUGUUUUGCUUCGAUGGGAUAUUUAUGUUGUAGGCCCUUCCGUAUUUUUAGUUUGUUUCAAUUUAGUCCUUUUCGCACUUUUUCUUUUAUUUUUAAAUUGGACCUCAAAGUUUUUUCCGCUAUGCAAUUUACUCCCUGGCGCGCUAAUCCUCUGGGAAGUGACGCGUGUCCAGGAAUCGGGUUUAUUUCCCAUUUAGCCCUCCGUUCUUUGUGCAUGUUUCAUUUUAAUCCUAUUUCAAUUUUUUAGCAUUAAUUUUAUUUACAAAUCUUACCUUUAAUGUCAUUCUGAUUUCAAUGUAGUCCUCUGAUUAAUUUACUUCAUAAUUUGUCUGUUAAUCUUUUUUUUCUUUAUUUUUUAAAAAUCUUUUUAUUAUUCUUAUAUUCGUUAUUUAUUCUUAUAUUUAAGCUUUAAUAUUUCUUCUAUUAAUUUAUUUGUUUUAUUUCUUUACUUUUAUAAUUCAUAAAAUUAUUUUUACAUACAUAUGAUUUGUUUUAUUAUCACAUUUUAUAUUAUUAUUAUUAUUACUUAUUAUUAUUAUUAUUACUAUCAUUGCUAUUAUUAUUAGCAUUAUUAUUAUUUUUAUAUAUCAAUUUACUUAGCUUUUUUAUAUAUACAUUAUUUUAUCCUAUUAUGUACUGUUAUUUUAAGUUUUUUUAUUAUUAUAUAUUAUUAUCUAAUCUCAUAAUGUAUUGGUUUAUAUAUUUUUAUUUUUUUAAAAGGUCCAACAUGAUCUAUAUAUUUUUUAAUGAUUUUAUAAUACAUUUUUUAAAAAUUUAUUUAUAUAUACUUCUAUGCUUUUAAAUCAAUAUGUUUUUAUUUUGUAUACUACUUAUCCGAUUUUCUUCCUAUGCAACAUUUAAUUUAAAAUUCAUGUGUAUAUAUAUUUUUAAUUCUAUUUUUGAUAUUUCAAGUUUUGAUGUAUAUUAUUUAUUUUAAUUCUUUUUUUUUACGUAUAAGUUAUUGUUCAUGCAUUGAUGAUUUCAAAUGUUCUAUCUUUCAUGCUAUUUUUUUUAUUUUGUUUGGUGUUUCUUUAAUUAACUUUCAAUUCAUUUAGUUUUCUAAUGUUGAUACUGAUAUUUGCAUAAUGUAUAAUUGAGAUUAUUGUUGUUAUGCUCGUUUAUAUUUUAUUUAUUAAUCAUUCAUUAUUCAUUAGUGUACAUUUUAUCCUCAAAUUAUCCUUUUGCAUUGUACAUAAUCACUCCAUCGCAUUUUAUUCGUUUAAAAGGUUACGUAUAAUAUCGUUCAAGUAUCAAAAUUAUCUUAUUCAAAAGUUUUCAAAAUAAUACUAUUUGUCAUUUUUGGAACUUCGAGGAUCCGUGCCCUAACUUACGGGGUUUUUGAUAUUCUCGUCGAACUAAAACGGUUAAACAUUUUUAGUUUUCAAAUGCACCAAGUUUCAAUAAAGAUUUUUAAAAGGUUAGCUUAUACUCGGGAAUUCAAGUGUUGCAUCCUAACUUGCGGGAUAUGUCAUUUUGUGCCUCGGGAUGAGAAGGCCUUUUUACAUCCAGGUUUAUCCAAGUAUUGUUUUAAAAAAUAUGGCAUUAAUAAAAGGGGAAUCAUUUUCAAUCUUUUCAAAUUUUUGACGUUCGACUUUAAGACAUUAAUAAAUCAAUUAGGUACCAAUUUUGGGCGUUUCGAGGGUGCUAACCCUUCCUCGUACGUAACCGACUUCCGAACCCAUCUUUAAUUCGUAGAUUAAAAUCGUUUUCAAUGUGAUCCGAUCACAUCUUAACAAAAGAUCGGUGGCGACUCCAAUUUUUAUUUUUUUAAGUCGACCCAGUUUUUUCAAAAUAAAAAUGGUUUAGACAUCCGUCAUAGUCCGAGUCGUGUUAAUAGGGGUGGUUAACUGAUAUAAUACUAUAAUUGGUAUUGGAAAACAUUGAAUGUGAAAAGCUAUUUGAAUAGCAAGUAUGAGAUUUGAAAUAGCAGGAGAUGAGAAUUGAAUAUGUUAUAAAUGAUGUGUUGAUGAAUUGAUUAAUUGAAUGAUUAAUGUUAUUGUGUGAUUAAAUGUAUAUAUUAAAUUAUCUUGCCUUUAAUAUUCGGAUUAUAGAAAUAUAUACCACUGAUUUUAUACUCAGCGUAUGGUUUGGUUUUCCGUGCGCAGGUUAGGUACUUGAUUUUGUUUGUCGAUUCAGCAUCCAAACAACGAUCAUGAUCUCAAAUGUGGUGAUGUUUAUUCCUUUUGUAUCGGCAUGUACCUAGGGCGUCUAAAUCUUAACUAUUUUUGUGGAUUGAUUGUAAAUAAUAUUAUAAAUUAAUAUUGGUUGGUUAUAUAUAUAUGAGUAUAUGUUAUAUUAAAGCUCUAAUAUGGCAUGUUUUAAAUUAUUGCAUAAAUGAACAUGAUAUAGGUAAAUUAGAUUGAAUUUGGUAUCUUUACAAAUUUGAUUUGAAUGAUGUUUAAAUUAAUAUGUUUUGAUAAUGUAAUUGUGGUACCUAUAAGGGUACAUUGGUCAGACAACUAGGUUGAUUAUUUUGACAUGUUUUGAAGAUAUUUGAUUGUGUUUCGAAUUGGUUGAACGAUUGAUUUUUGAGUUGCUUAGUGUCCAAGAUUGCAGGGAAUGGUAAACUUGAUGUUUAAGGUACAUAUUGAGUCCACACAGCCAGACACACGGGCAUGUGACUGGGCUGUGUAAGACACACGGCUAGCACACUGGUGCGCGAAGUCAUUUUGAUAGGGCACACGGUCUGGCACACGAGCAUGUGGCUUGGUCGUGUGACCCAAGUCAGAGAGUUACACGGGUAUAGACACGGGCUGGGACACGGCUGUGUGUCCCUAUUUCGAAUGCCUACACGGCCUGACCACACGGUUGUGUAAACCCUGCAGCUUUGAAAAUUUUUUAAUAUUUCGCAAAAAAUUCUCUGAGUUUUCGAAUUAGUCCCGAUUUGUUUCUAUCAUGUAGUUUGGGCCUCGAGGACUCGAAUAAGGGAUAAUAUGUAUGAGUUUGAUUGAUUUUGACUUGAAUGUUAUAUGAUAUGAAAUGUUUUGAAAUUAUGUCUGUUUGAUCGGUAAUGCUCUAAAACCCUAUUCCGGCGACGGAUGUGGUUAGGGGUGUUACAUCUUAACAGAUUUAUGGGCUAAUUUUAAGGAAAUUAAUUCUACUUUAUCUUGGAUAAUAUUGGAGGCUAUUUAUCUUGAUUAUUUUAUUGAAGAAGAGUUUAUAUUAAAUUAUGAUUAUCAAAUAAACUGUCGUAUUAAGCCUGUAAAUAGGCAGCUAAUUCGCAUGGAAGAUGCAUCUUUUGGGAGAGAGUGUUUUGCGGAAUUUUUUAUUAUUUUAUGAUAUUUUCCCUUGUAUUUUUGCACUUUUUUAAUAGGCAAUCUUAGUGAGAGAUUAAACUUGUGUAUUGAGGUUUUGGGUGAGUGAUUGUAAAAAGUUGGGACUAACUAUUGGAGUUGUAAUUACUUUUUUUGUGUAAAAGUAGAUUAGGUUUUAGAUGAUAGACGGUUGGAUCAAUUGUGGAGUAAAAUCAUUAACUGAGUGAGGCUUUACAAAGUAAGUUUAUUUCUGAACUAUGUUAAUAAAUGGUUGAGUGGAAAUCUCUCUUUACUUCUUUGUUUUUCAUUUCUGUUUCACUGUCUGAUCAAUACUAUAACUAAACACAACCUUGAACAUACAUACUGAACUUGAAUCAAACUGACGUGUUUUUUCAUAUAUAGCAACAUUAAAAUCUAGCUAAAUUCAUAAUAAAGUUGCAUUGAACCCUAAAUUACAAAAUUUUUCUAGCAUUGUUUUUUCUGCCCAAAACUCAAACUUGAAAUCGUGUUUAAGGGAAUAUUGAGUUCAUUAUCAAUUAUUAUUUGAUCCAACUUGAUAUAUUUUCAUCUAUUUUAUAUUCAUAUUUAAAUUAUUAUAUAUUAUAUAUAAAUUUUGAUAUAUUAGUUAUUUGUGUUAUAUAAAAUAUAAUAUAUAUUUUUUGUGUUGUGUUGUGUUGUGUUAUAUAAUUGAAUGGUAAAUUAUCAAGACUAAUUUAAAGGCCAAAAACCUAGCAUAUAUAUGAGCCACCAACUUACUGUAAGUAUUCCCAACAUUUUACACCUUUACUCGUCUCUAGUGAAAUGUGUAGCACGUUUAAAUUUGUCCAUAUCUACACACUAUAAUGUCAAAACCAUUCAUUUUAUUGACACUUGUCUAAAUAAACAAACAAAGUUGCUUUUUUUUUUUUAAAUUGGACCACCAUUUGUUUGGCAUAAAUUAAUAAUGCAAGGUGUUGAGGAUUGAUUCAUAUAAAUAACGAGAUAAUAAAAAUUGAAAAAAAUGAAUAUAAAUAUUUUAUGUGAAAAUUUUUAAAGAGGGAAAAAUUACGGAUAAUGGAGAUUUUAGUUUUUCAUUAAAUGAAUAAACAAAUGAGAGUAAAAUAUAGAGAAAAAUAAAUCUACAUAACCCAAAACUUCAAAUACAAAGCUUAAAAUCCUAAAUCUCAUAAGACACUCAUAAAAAGGAUAUAAAAUACUUUCUAUAAUUAUCACAAAACUUUGACCAAAACUCGUAUGCAAUUAUAUGUUGUCAACCUCAAAGAAAAGCCUUUGCUGAUUAAUCUCACAAAAUAGGAAUACAAUAUCCCUUUAAAUAGACUAAAAUUAGAGUUCUAUUAAUAUUAAAAUAUCUCUAAAAUAAUUAAAGUCUAAUUAAAAAAAAAACAUUCUUAAAAUUUAAAACUCAGCUGUCAAAUAGAAAAACACAUCGCCAUGUCAUGAGGUCCCGAGCCACACAAUCGCGUUGUCAUUAUUUUUUUAUCUUAACGUCACUGUCUGCUUCUCCAAAAAUACGAGUAGACUCCACACAAGGUAUACGACAAAGAUAAGAGAAGAUUUUAAAAAUUAAUCUAUAAGGCAUGGUCUUUUUGCCACGUAAAAUUUUGCUUUAAAGCAUUAUACAUACACUUGCAUAAAACACCCCCAUAAUUCACACGAGAAAAAGGAAAUAUUGCAGACCCCUGUUCACAUGAGAAAAAAAAAUUAAUAUGUAGUUUACCGUUAAAUUUGUUUAAAAAUAGGGUUUUUUACAAAAUUAUUAUAAAAAAAUAAAAAAUAACUAAAAUAUUAUAAUUUUUUUAUUUACCAAAAUAUACCAAAAAAACAAAAAACAGAAAAAAAAUCGAUUUGACAAUAUCUUAGUCGUGCCAAGGUGAUUGGCGGCACCAAAGGUGCCAAAGUUAUUGGCGGCACCAAUGGUGCCAAGGAGAUUGGCGGCACCAAUGAUGCCAUACUGAUUGGCGGCACUACUCGUGUUAUAAACACGAGCUCUGUCCAGUUGAAGGGAGAAAAAUCAGAAGAAAAAGAAGAAGAAGAAGAGGUGUGGCGGAAAAAAAGAGAAAAAGAGAGAAAGAGAAGGUAUUUUUUUUAAAAUAAUUGAUUAUAUUGUUGUUAUUGUUUUGUAUAUUUUGUAUUAUUUUUUUGUUUUAGUUUAGUUAUUAUGAUUAAUAAAACUCAAAUUGAUAGUUUUAGUUAGUAUUAUUAUUAUUAUUAUUAUUAUUAUUAUUAUUAUUAUUGUUAGUAUUAAGAUGUUUUUAAUGUAUUAAGAUGUAACUUAGUAGUAUUAUUGUUAGUAAAAAACUAGUAUUAUUAUAGUUAGUUAGUUAUUAUUUUUAGUAAAACCCUAAUUAAUAAUUUUAGUGUGUAUUAUUUUGAGUAUAAAAUUAUUAAUAUUAUUAUUGUGUUAGUUAUUAGGAUUAGUGGUUAAACGGUUUUCAUGUACAAAAUUGCAUAUUGAAACAUUAAAUUUUUUUUAAGUAAUUUAUUUACCAUUCGAGAUUUUUUAUGAGAUUUUGUUUAUUUUUUGACAGAUUAAAUAUUGAAGAUGGAUGCUAAGUUUAUUGUAUGCGUUUAUUUCGAUGGAGUCAUCUUGACAACAAGUGUUGGAUGUGUAUUUGAAUGUCGGCAACAAAUAGCAAUGAGAUUUAAUAGAAAUGUCUCGUUCGAUGAAAUGAAGGCAAGGAUUAAUGCAAAAAUUCUUAGAUGUUGUGGGAGAAUGAUAUCAAAAAUUUUCUACAAGUUUCCAGUUUCAACAAAUUCGGUCAAAUUCGUCGAAAUGGAACUUGUAGACGAUGAAGACGUGGAGACAAUGGUCGAUCUCUACUGUAGGAAUGGGAGUGAGAAGAAUGCACCGAUUCACUUAUUUGCUGAGUUAGUCGGUAUGGAGUAAAAUGAAGAUGUCAAUGCAUCUGAUGAAGAAGACGGAGCUGAAGAACCGUGGAUAGUGGCUCCAAUAUCAUACGUUGAUAGUGAAUCGACUAUGGUGGGAUGGGUAUCAACCUAAAUAUUACCCCCAAGUUGAUAUGGUUGGUGGUGAAGAAGACGGUGCUGGCGAAGAAGAAGGUGGUGGCGAUCAUUGGGAUGAAGAGGUCGAUAGUGACGGUGAUCCCGAUGUGCAUUAAACCCCUAAAAUUGAUGGUUCGAUGGUGUUGUCCUAGGGGUAUGCCUAUUCGGAGGUCGACGAUAACGUUCUGAGUGACGACCAACAUCAUCAUUCGGCGCAGGUGGGGGUGUUGCAAAUAUAGAGGAAAAAUUCUAUGGCUCGUUCGGCACCGACGAACUUGAACCGAAAUGAGUCCCAUGAUGCUGCGGGUCAGACGGGUCGGGCAUGCCGUACUGCGGCGGGUAGGAUCCAAACAGUUCAUCCGGGUAGGCAUAUUCGCCUCCUGCGAAGCUUGAAAAAUAGUCAUCGCCCGCCAAAUCCGGACGAUAGCCAUGUGAAUCCAAAUUUGACUGUGACUGUUCGGGAUCUGGCUGGGGCUCCUGCUCGGGCUCUGCUGGUUGUGGAGAAUAAUAUGCCACCGGUUCCGAAUCCACCGGGCUUGUUGCGUCUGAUCCCUCAAGUUGCUGCACGUGCGGGGGGAUUACAGUCGACUGGCCUCCUAAUAUAUAUGGCUUCUCGCAACUAUAGUACCAUUGUAUAUACUCUAAUGAUGAUUGUGGGUCGGUAGCCAUAACCAUCUGAGGUAUUCGACGCAAUCGAUCGUUCUACAGUGCCACAAAUUUUCGGUGCUUAAUUUCCCAAUCCAUUUGAAAUCUUCCUCUCUUAGUCAUGUCGUGAACUUUCCCCACCUGGCACGGUGGAUCCGGGAUAGGUUGGAUGCAGCCAAACUGUCGUAGCACCCGAUCUCCGUGAUACCACUCGACUACGUUGAAAUUGAUAAUUGGUGCGUUAGUGCACCAUAUGUGGGAAUCAACGUAUGCGGACGAUGGUACAACAUUUGUAAUUUUCGGCCUACGGUAUGGCAUCCAUAUAAACUGCAUGAUUAAUAACAUUGUAACGAGUUAGAGCCAUAACGUGUGAGUAAGAUAUAGAAAUAGCGGAGGUAUGUCAUGAAUAUUAGAAUAGCAGCUUACCCCUUUUCGGGCAUGCUGUUCAAUCAUGAGGCGGUAUAUCAGGACAUAAUACGACUUCCUGAUGCCUGGACGAACACUCCACCUACAAAAAAAAUAGGGUUUAGGGUUGGUAACAUUAGUCAAUAUAUUAUGACUACAAAUAAUGACAAUUUAUAUUUUAUCACUUGUUCAGUAGUGGAUACACAUACGGUUGGUGACUAACGGAUGCCAAAAACGGUAGCCGAUAAAGCGCCCAGGACUGCAGCAGUAUGAGGCAUCCGCCCAUGUCUACAACAUCCGGGUUUGUCACUCGACAAAGCUCCCGGUACAACAUUGCUAGAACGGCGGAGCCCUAGCUAUACGACCUAGCAGUGGACAAAUCAGCUAACAGGGGCAAGUACAUCAAAUGCACAUUGUCGCCGUUUGCAUCAGGCAUUUUUUCUUCUCCUUUCCUCUUCUUCUUCUUUCUUUUUUUUUCUCUUCUCAUUUCCUUUUCUUUCCUUCUUUUUCUUUCUUUCCUCUCCUUCCUUUCUUUCUUUCUUUCCCUCUCCUUCCCCCCCCACCACCGACCGGCCCUAUUAUACCAUUGGUGCCGCCAAUGGCUUUGGCACAUUUGGUGCUACCAAUCACCUUGGCAUGACCAGGGUGUUGUCAAAUCGAUCAGGUUUUUUUUUUCUGUUUUGGGUAUAUUUUGGUAAAUAAAAAAAUUAUAAUAUUUUGUUAAAUAAAAAAAUUUAUAAUAUUUUGGUUAUUUUUUAUUUUUUAUAAUAAUUUAGUAAAAAACCCUUAAAAAUAUUUAGUCGGUACCUUUUUUUCUUUACCUAGUUAGUAUUUGAGCUUUUAUUCUGUCACUUAGAUUAGUGUCUUUACUCUAAUAUUAUAAAUUUGUGCUGAUAUGACAUUAAUAGUUAAUCUGGUGGUGAUACGUGAUAACCUUUUAGUAUGCCAUGUGACGAGCAUAAAUUUAAAAUUUUUAAAAAAUUCUUUAAAAAUUAAAUUAAUAAAAAAGAGUAUAACUCUUUUCAAGGUUCAUUUUCGAUGAAAAAAAGUACAUAUUUUAAAAGUUUUUAAAUUUUAUAUAUGCUACCUGACAUAUUGAGAGGUUAUCAUGUGUCACUGAUAGAUUGGUUAUCAGUGUUACAUCAAUAUAAACUAACAAUGCUAGUGUAGAGGCACUAACCCAAAUGACAGAAUACAAGUUCAGGUGUCAUCUAGGUCCAAAAAAAUAUUCAAGUACCAACUAAAUACUUUUAAACAAGUUUAAGGGGCAAACUAAAUAUUAACCCAAAAUAAUUACCGAAUAUUUUCAUUACAACAAAAGUUUAAUUUAUUUUUUUAUAUGAUUUUGUUAUAAACUUUUUCUUUCACAUUAUAAGUGUAACAUUAGCUAGUAUAAAUAAAAUAUUUUUAUUAAUAUUUAAUUUUUUUUUCUAAUUCAAACGGGAAGAGGAAGAGAUUACACCGAAAGAUUGAAUCUUAGACAAAAUUUAAACCCACAAAAGUUAGUCGCAACUCGCAAGGCUUUUAAUUUUUUUAUUUUUUUAUUAUUUAAUUAUUCCCUCCUUCACAAUAAAGUUGUUAUAUUUUUUUUACUUGUGAUGAUUAAUUUUUUUCAAAUUUAAUAUUUUAUUAUUUAAUAUCUUUAUUCGUAAUAUUUUAAUAAUUCAACCAUUAAAUUUCGUAUUUCAUUCAUAUAGAUCAUGCAUAUCAAAUUUGACAUGCAUUAAAAAAAUUUAAUUAUUUGUUUUAUGUAAAAAUUUCAACCGUUCAAUAAAUAUUAAUAUAUAUAAUAUUUUAGAUCAAAAUAAUAGAAACAUUAAAUUAGUUUGAAAUUUUACAUAUAUGAUAAAUACAAUUAUGCCAACACAUUUAAUGGUUGAAUUGUUAAAAUAUUAAUACUAUAAAAUAUAAAAAAUAUUUUACACAAGUAUAAGUAAAUUUCUUUAUUUAUUCGGGUUAAUGGUAUCAAAACAUAUUUGUAUUAAUUAUUAGUACAAAAUAAAUUUUUAUUAUGAAAUUUGUUCAUUUUCAUUUUUAGUAAAUUUAUAAAUGUUCUCAAUUUGAUCCUAAUUCUAAAAAACUUAAAGAAAUAUAAAAAUACAUAAAUAUUUUCAAAAAAUAUAUAUAAUAAUAAAUUUAUAAUUGAUAACAUUUGUAAAUUUUGAGUGUUAUUUUUUAAAAUUAUGACUAAAUCAAUAUAAUAUGUAAAAUUUGAAAGGUAAAUUUGUUAUUAUACUAGUUUUUUUAACUGCCACGUUAGCUUAUUGUUUGUGAUUUUAACAAGAGUGACCAAAAUGAUCAAACUAUUUUAGCGGGUACUUAAAAUGCAAACUUAUUAUUUUGAGUGCCUAAAAUGAAUUUUUUUUAUAGUUAAAUAAUUCUGUGUAUAGAAGAAAAACCAUUUAUUUUAUCUUUGAUUUUGUAAAUUCUAUCAUUUAUCUUUUACUCCCAAAUAUGUGAUGCAAGUGAAUGAGUGAGGUUGUGGGGAUAGACUUGAUCAUCACGACUCACGAGGGUUAUUGACCAACACAACUCCUGGUGUUCCAAAAUCUUCAUCCAACUCAAAUUUAACAUGGAUUUCUCUGUUCCAUUUCCAUCCCACUAGGUAACUUCUUUUCUACCAUUUUUAAUUAAUUUAUUACCUGCUGAUGAUACAACAAAAAUUAUUAUUAAUAUUACUUACUCAUAGAGUAAAUAAAUAUAAUGGCUUUAGUCACGUGCUAGUUGGUACAAUCAUAAACACAUAUAUUUAUAAUGGUAGAGUAAACUCUUUGUAGUCUUUAACCAAAUAACUUAUUAUCAACCCACUUAAGAUUACGCUUUCAAAGGAAAUUAAAGCUUCAACAAAUACACUUUUGUUUAUAUUUAUUUUUUUGGUUGAAUAGUUAAAUGAUAAUUUUAAUGGAAUAAUAAAUAAGUUUUAAAUGAUUUAUUAAACAAGUUUUAAACGAACAUAAACGAGUUUGUUCAUGAAUAUAUAUGAAUUACACAAACUUUGCUUGUGUUUGGUUCGUUUAAUAAACGAGCCUCAAAAUCUUGUUCAUAUUCAUUUAUUUGGUUUAAUAAAUGAACAAAAAUCAAACUAUUCAGUGAAUACUCUGUUCAUUUACGACCCAAGUUGUUGCAUAUAAUAACUCCUCAUCUCUUUUUUUUAGUUUUCCUAGUAUUACUUAUGGACCGAAUUGACUUAUAACCAUUAAAGGAAAUAUAUCCAAUUGAUUGAAGACUUAUCUUGUGGUGUUCUGAAGAUAUUUUGUGUGUUGUUUAUCUUAAUUAGUUGGAGGGAUAAUUUGUUAUUAACUAGACAUGAUCAUGAGUUGGGUCACUCACUCAAACCUGAAGGUUUACUUGAAAGGUGAGAGUUUGGGAAAAAAUAUAGGCCUAAAAACUGAGUUUGGAACAAAAAAAAUAAGGUCCGUUUUCUAAAUAGGUCGGGCGUCAGGCAUAAUUUUUUUGCCUAAACUAGGUCUGGUCUGAAUCACAUGCAUAUACUUUUUUUUUGUAUUUUUAAUUUGUAAGAAACAUUUAUUUUAGUAUUUUUAGUGUAUUAAUUGUAUUAUGUUUUUAUAUAAAAAAUCUAAAAAAAUUAUUACGACAGCUAAGUCAAGUUUGGGUUUAACAUUUUUAAAUUGUGUUGGCUUUGCAAAAUUUUAAGCCUAAUUUUCAGGUUGUAUCAAGCCUGUACCUAGAAAGCAAGCCUAAAAUUUUGUAUUGGCCCAAUCCAUGAUCAAACCUAAUUAUUAACAAAUUUAAUAUUUUAACAUCACUUAUAUAGGGUGACAACUUGUAUAGAUAUUGUAUUGAUAGAAUAGUUUGAGGGUUUUUUUUUUUUUUUUGAUAUAUUAGCAAAGGCUUUCAAUUUUCAUUGGUUGUUAAAAUUUUCAAUUUCAUUAUAAUUAAAUUGUUUCUUGAUGGAUUGGCUAAUCUAUGUAAGAAAAGCAAGAAAAUUAUGGAGAGAGAAGGCAUGAUGAUUUUCAACCAACCCCAUCAUGAUAAUUUUGAAUUUAUUCAUAAUAAAUAACAUAGCAGCAUUAAACUUGGAAUAACACUAUCAUUCCAGAAAAUUACACAAAAGUACGGACAACAAUACUUUUGAUGUGCUGCACCAACACUUAUUUCAUGCAAAUUAUUCCCUUACUUAUCUUUUACUUAAAUUAUAUUGAGAUGCUAUUGGGAAUUCCCUUACCAGAAAUUCCAAUUUCACCGGUGGGAUGGAGCAAAUUAUAAGGAACAUUAACCUGACCGACCCGGUUCUUCAGUUUCUUGUCGAUGUUCAUCUUUAAGAUUUCCCCUUCGAUUUCAGCAAGUCUCCUAUUGAAAGCAUCCGAAGCUUGUAGCGGAACUGCAUCAGUGGUCCAGUUGGGGGUUCGCUGUCCAAGAUACACCUCAUCCGAUGCGUGGUUUGACAGCGUUUCGACCACCGUAAUGACAAUCAGGGACUGUAGCUGCGAAGACAUGAUUCUAAAGAAGACCUUCUCAGGGUUCUUUUCAAGCUCUGCAUACUCAGGGGUGCCUUUCUCAGGCAUGAACCUUCGGCUUAGUGUUGGGCGGUUGGGGAAGUAGCCUCCGUAAGCGUAUUGUCCGUAGUUGACAGCUGCAUGGAGUGCAGAAGCGAUCCAUAUGAUAAUGGUGCAAGAUUGUAUCAGGUCUUCAAGGUUCUGCAUUUUAGGCCACCAUGGCUCGUCUUUCUUGUCACCAUGACCCACCUCUCGGAGUUCCUUCCACCAGGCUUGAAGUUCAGGGUCCCGUUGAACCAUUUCAUCGGUCUUGUAGUAGAAUGAGCAGUAAUCUCUGACCCAUUUUUCAAUAGCAAACCAGAUCUUCAACCCAUCAACAGCAUAUGGGUAGUCUUUUAUUAGUAACCGGUCAAGGUCGUCCAGAGAUUUUAUAUCACCAUCUGCGAUCCCUCUGAUAAAACAAAAGGCCAUACCAUGGUUAAUAAAGGGUUUGGUUCAUUAAUUUAUAAGAUAAUAUAUUGUUGUUAUUAUAAUACCUUUUCUUGAGAUCAUUGGGAAGAGCCUGAUCCAUGAAAUUCCAACUCUUGUAAAUCACAGAUGACAUCUCUAGAGAGUAUUUUCCAGGGCAAAAUGUCCUCUCUAUAAUUCCAUUAGCAUUAAUGAGCAACUCUCUAGCCAAUGCAUUGAUGGUCAUGGUGUCACGGAAGUGAGGAUGGAGAAGCUUAUAAAUUGGAUGAACCACACUCAGCUGUCUGUUUGUUGCAAUUACGAAAGGCUCUAUCACUGCAUGAGUGUUCAACCUGACACCAAAUCAAAAACACACCCGAAGUUUAGCUUCAAAUCAUCACUACCUAAUUAACACUGCAUAUAUAUGUCCUUACCAGUGGCUCACUAGCUGAUGGUGACCAGAAUCAUUCACAUUUACAAAAGCUUUAGCAAGCAUCCAAAUCCAACCCUCAACUCCAUGUUCAGCUGGAGUGUAUACUUUGUUAACACAUCCUAUUUUAUCUUCUUCCAUUUUUGGCAAGCUCAACUCAAUGGCCACAGGCUUCAAUGUACCAUCCCCUCUCAAGAACAGAAUGGUCCUCGAUGCAUAUGUCUUUGCUUCUGUAUACUCGUUUAUCGUCUGAAGGUAAGGCAUAAUUGUAUCGUGAUGAUCCAAUAUAAAUAGCCUUUUCCUACUGAGUGCCUGCGCCACGUCCAUGUUCGUUAGUGAUGAGAUACUAAGGUAUGAAAAUAUAUUAAAAAUAAAAUAUAUUACCUCUUCAACAGUAAGUCCAUCUAAGUUAUACUCGAUGUCUUGUUUGGUUAUUGAACUGUCCUGAUUAACAUACACUUGAGGAUCUAAGUUGCUCACUGGAGGGAAUUCCUGCAAUUGAUUUCAUAGUGUUAUAAGCUAAGAUAUAUAAACAAAAUAAAGUGAUUGACUGAGUUGUUUUCUAUUAAGCUUACUUUGAGGAGCUGAAUAAGAAGAGGGUUCAAUCCUGCAAGCAUUUCUCUGCCAAAUUCCUCAUCAGUCCUCCAUGCAAAGGGAUUACUCCGAUCUGCUCCAAAGUUAUAAACAUAUUAAAAUGAAUACGUACAUACAUACAUGCAAUAUUUAACAACGUUAAAAUUUAUUCACCUUCAAUCAGUUUAGGCACAGGAAAUUUUAAGAGUUGCUGGCCAUCAGAUCGGAAAAACUCCCCCAUCAUCUCUAAAGGGAUGUUGUUAGCAACUUGAUUGAUAAGAUCAGUAGGAAGUGGGAGUCCAUUGAAGAAGAGAUUGUCCACGUCUUUAAAUGAGUCGAACUCAUUAGGAGUAUAGUUAACAAAAGCUUCCAGUAAUGGUAUGAUUUGAUUAACUAAGCCUUUCAGAUUAUAAGCAAUAAAGUCCGACAGCUUCAAGUGAGCAAACUGCUCAUCUCGUGGGACGUAAACGUUAAGAAUAUUCGGUAGGAAAAGCCUGCUCUCUGUCUUUGGAUCUAUGAAAACAUAAAAAUGUAACAUCAUGUUAGAUUCAAUUCAAUAUAAAAUAUAACUGAACCCAUCCAUGUUAUUUGAACUCUUCAUAUGAUCCGAACCUGUUUUGGAAGGUGGUCUGCUGGUUCUUCCUCUCCGAGGAUAAGGAUACCGAGCCGAACCUCCAAGAACCGGACGAGCGAGAUCUGCACCCUUAUCGGGAUCACCCAAAUCAUUGUACAGAGCAUAGUCAUAAACACGAUCUCCUGUUUUCAACUGUCCAGUCCCAUCUCCCCUCAAGACCUGUAACUCUUCUUCUCUGUAUUUACGCAACGCUGCUGGUGUCUCAUGUGGAAGGUAUGUCUACAAAUAUUUUACAAGAAUGCGAAAUUCAGGUAUAAUAUUUCAUUUUGAACUGAAGCUAUUAUUUGAAAAAGUGUUCAAAUACCUUGUUUGAGAAGAAGAUUCUUGGUUUUUUAUAUCGUCUAUCAGGAUAAACCCAGGAAUUACAAACGAAGUGGAUCCGACCUUCGCCGGGAACAUUUUCAAGAGUAAUUGUUUUUAAGAAAAACUCAGCCGUAUGAUUAUUCCGUAGGAUGAUAGCUCCAGGGAUUCCAAAUUCCUCAUCCCACUCAAAUGAAACCUUGUACAAGGAAUCAUCACCAGCCAAUAACGGCGUAUAUGUCAGGUUCCAGUAUUCCAAUGCCGCUAACUUCCCCAGCUUUCCACCAUUUUCAUUUGCUACAUAACAAACCAGUAAACAUUAAC